CGCGCCGCCGCCGCCGCCAUUUCGCUGCGCUCCCACAAAGAGCCCCGCCGGGCGUGGGGGGGGACCCGGCGGUCGCGGCGUUCUGGUCAGUCGGUGUUUUCCACUUGGGAGAGGUCACUGUGGGUUAACGUUCCCCGGGGCGUAGCCUUUCCAUUUAGGAAUAGCUUUGGAGCCGUGAACGGUUCCGGCAGACCGAGUUGGCAGCUUUACCGUUUCGGGAGAUGUCGGGUUUUGGUGGGGGUUUGUCAGUAUCACGAGUCCAAGAUUCAAAGGACCUCUUUUGUUCUCUUCAGGACUGCUGAAAGAAUUAUUCUCCCCUUCUCAUCUGGCACAUUUGGUUUUAAUAACGAGCUCAAACCUUUCAAUGUUCUGGAAAAGAAGGAAGGAGCUCUGAGCAAUCUGCACUGAUUGAACUCUGGAGUAACACUUCAUUUCCUAAUAUGACAUCUUGGUCUUAUAUUUUAUGGCUAGUGUUCAUCCUUCACUCCUAUGUGGAUUUUGUUACUAAAGACCAACAAGUGAGUAUAUGAACUACCCAUUAAUUAUUGUUUUUUCUUUUUUACAAUUCAGCUUUUCCCAUUAAUCAAGACAGUAUGUGGAGGGUGAAAAAUUCUGCUUGCCUCUUCCUGAUCAGGGAGCCUUGAGCUUGUUUCCCAUGAUGUGGGAAGGCAGCCAGGGCACACUGGAGUGAAGGAGCAGGUUGGGUGAGGGUGGGAAAGAGCAAGAAAAUGACUCGACUCCUCUUCCCACUCUAGUAACCCUCGCUGGUUAUCCCCAAACUCGCAGAGAUGGACGAGGGAUAGCUUGGGCUGAAAGCAAAAAUAAAAUGCACAUAGGAGAAAGUUACAAAGUCCUUUACAAGACUUUUUCCAGAUGAAAGAGAAGAGAUGAAGGUGAUGAGCCAUCUCUCUAUAGAAGUCAAUUCUGGAGAACACAGCUGCUUGCAUGACUGUGAGCACUUCCUAACAUUGGUAUUAAAUAGUUCCCACCUCUUAAAGACUUCUACACUGAUCCCUGGUGGUAUUAGCUGCCAUUCAAUUACAUGCACUUGCUGAGGAUCAGUUUUGUUUUCCUCACAAAGUCAAAAAACCCCUCCAACAACCAACCAACCAACCUCCCCCCCCGCAAAAGCUCAUAUUCAUUUCACUAUUUUUUUCAGGGAUUCCAGGUUAUUUAGCACCCUGGUUUGUACAGACCAGGAACCGCCUGUUCGUGGUUCUCUCACAAACUACUUGUGGAGGCAAUAAAGGAACUUCCAUGGCAGGAAGAAGCUGCAGUAUCUGUAGAAAGAGGGAAGGACUUGGUUUCUAUUUUAAAUCCCUCCCCACACGUCAAGAACAAUAUUGUUUGUGUGCAGAGACCUGAAAGAAUUGAUUUCUUAAAGAAGUGAUAUAUAGAAAUGCCAUCUGGAGACGCAAAAGUGUUUUAUGGAGAAACAGAAAACUAUUAAGUAACUACAGGUUGAAUAACAUGCUUUGGGAGAAGGCUGAGAGAUUGCACUACCUAUGCUAUAACUAGUACUUUAAAGCAUAAGGAUAUACUUUGUGUGGACUUAAAGGUCAAAAGUAAAAGUCAUCUAUGACACUAAAUGUUUUUUUCACGACCACCAUCAACUGUGAUGCACUGUGCUUAAAUCUAAAGCCUUCCUCCUUUAUGUAGAAAUCUGAGAGGUUA